rnacentral:rRNA from 1 species
GCAGUCGAACGAUGAAGCCUAGCUUGCUGGGUGGAUUAGUGGCGAACGGCUGAGUAACACGUGAGCAACCUGCCCCUGACUCUGGGAUAAGCGCUGGAAACGGCGUCUAAUACUGGAUACGAACAAGAAUCGCAUGGUUACUUGUUGGAAAGAUUUUUUGGUUGGGGAUGGGCUCGCGGCCUAUCAGCUUGUUGGUGAGGUAAUGGCUCACCAAGGCGUCGACGGGUAGCCGGCCUGAGAGGGUGACCGGCCACACUGGGACUGAGACACGGCCCAGACUCCUACGGGAGGCAGCAGUGGGGAAUAUUGCACAAUGGGCGGAAGCCUGAUGCAGCAACGCCGCGUGAGGGAUGACGGCCUUCGGGUUGUAAACCUCUUUUAGCAGGGAAGAAGCGAGAGUGACGGUACCUGCAGAAAAAGCGCCGGCUAACUACGUGCCAGCAGCCGCGGUAAUACGUAGGGCGCAAGCGUUAUCCGGAAUUAUUGGGCGUAAAGAGCUCGUAGGCGGUUUGUCGCGUCUGCUGUGAAAUCCCGAGGCUCAACCUCGGGCCUGCAGUGGGUACGGGCAGACUAGAGUGCGGUAGGGGAGAUUGGAAUUCCUGGUGUAGCGGUGGAAUGCGCAGAUAUCAGGAGGAACACCGAUGGCGAAGGCAGAUCUCUGGGCCGUAACUGACGCUGAGGAGCGAAAGGGUGGGGAGCAAACAGGCUUAGAUACCCUGGUAGUCCACCCCGUAAACGUUGGGAACUAGUUGUGGGGUCCAUUCCACGGAUUCCGUGACGCAGCUAACGCAUUAAGUUCCCCGCCUGGGGAGUACGGCCGCAAGGCUAAAACUCAAAGGAAUUGACGGGGACCCGCACAAGCGGCGGAGCAUGCGGAUUAAUUCGAUGCAACGCGAAGAACCUUACCAAGGCUUGACAUAUACGAGAACGGGCCAGAAAUGGUCAACUCUUUGGACACUCGUAAACAGGUGGUGCAUGGUUGUCGUCAGCUCGUGUCGUGAGAUGUUGGGUUAAGUCCCGCAACGAGCGCAACCCUCGUUCUAUGUUGCCAGCACGUAAUGGUGGGAACUCAUGGGAUACUGCCGGGGUCAACUCGGAGGAAGGUGGGGAUGACGUCAAAUCAUCAUGCCCCUUAUGUCUUGGGCUUCACGCAUGCUACAAUGGCCGGUACAAUGGGCAGCGAUACCGUGAGGUGGAGCGAAUCCCAAAAAGCCGGUCCCAGUUCGGAUUGAGGUCUGCAACUCGACCUCAUGAAGUCGGAGUCGCUAGUAAUCGCAGAUCAGCAACGCUGCGGUGAAUACGUUCCCGGGUCUUGUACACACCGCCCGUCAAGUCAUGAAAGUCGGUAACACCUGAAGCCGGUGGCCUAACCCCUUGUGGGAGGGAGCUGUCGA